UAUCUGUCAAAAACAGAUCAAGGGAAGACAAUGUGCUUUCAAGUUCAGAAAAAAAUUAAUUAAUGAUGACUCCAUAUUGAGUUCUAGAGUAAACGAGGAUAUUUAGAGAAGCAGUCUUAACCUUUAUACUUGCUACCAUCAUCUCUUUUAACUAACGUUAGAGAAGUGUGGAGCCCAACAGGUUUGGCAAAAGACGAAAGACAGUCUUACUAGACUUCCAAAACUGUUGCUGCAUGCUAAAGUUUCAAUGAAAAGUGUACUAAAAAAUAAACAAAAAACACACAACCAAUGAACAACCAUGAGUUGCUUCUAUCUUCUGCUUUAACAUCUGAUAAGUGACUAAGUUCUAACAAUAAUUCAAUUUUUAAUUUUACUAUCCAUGAAUAAAAAGGCUUAAGUGUACUAAUAUUCAGCAUGAUUUAAUAAUGAGCUUUUAUAAACAUAUAGCUAUUCCUUAAGAGACUCUGAACAUAAAAAAAAUCACAAUAAAAGGAAAAUGACAUUAAGAU